AUUUGAUGACGUGGGCAUUUUAUUAAAAGAUCAUUAAAUCUAUCCCAAGCCUCGUAAAAUUCUUCAUUAGGUUUUUGUGUAAAUGUUUGAAUUCUAUUUCGCAUAUC
rnacentral:snoRNA from 1 species